rfam:Myotis lucifugus cont2.38248, whole genome shotgun sequence.
AUCACUUCUUGGCCUUUUGGCUAAGAUCAAGUGUAGUAUCUAUUCUUUUGUUUAAAGAUCAAUGGAAAAAUAUCCUCGGGUGAGGAUUAAAAUAAAUAAAUAAAAACGAAAU